GACGAACGCUGGCGGCGUGCUUAACACAUGCAAGUCGAACGGAAAGGCCCUGCUCUUGUGGGGUGCUCGAUUGGCGAACGGGUGAGUAACACGUGAGUAACCUGCCCUUGACUUUGGGAGAACUUCAGGAAACUGGGGCUAAUACCGGAUAGGAUCUCCUGCUGCACGGUGGGGGUUGGAAAGUUUCGGCGGUUGGGGAUGGACUCGCGGCUUAUCAGCUUGUUGGUGGGGUAGUGGCUUACCAAGGCUUUGACGGGUAGCCGGCCUGAGAGGGUGACCGGCCACAGUGGGACUGAGAUACGGCCCAGACUCCUACGGGAGGCAGCAGUGGGGAAUAGUGCACAAUGGGCGGAAGCCGGAAGCAGCAACGCCGCAUGCGGGAAGACGGCCUUCGGGUUGUAAACCGCUUUCGCCUGUGAAGAAACGUGAGGGACGGUAAUAGGUAAAGAAGCACCGGCGAACUACGU
rnacentral:rRNA from 1 species